GGCGAUAAGCAGGAGAUUGUUGUCACAGAUAUGGAACCCAGGGUCUUUAAAGCUAUGUUGCACUUCAUAUACAGAGAUUCUCUUGUAGAUGAAGAGAUAGAAGAUACUAGUUCUUCUUCUAUUCCUUCUGUGACCGAUACAUUGACAGCAAAAUUGCUAGCAGCAGCCGAUCGGUAUGAAUUAACAAGACUCAGGCGUGUGUGCGAAUCUCAUCUUUGCAAAGAUAUCUCGGUGAACUCUGUUUCCAGAACUCUUGCUUUAGCUGACCGUUACCAUGCCACGGAACUCAAAGCAGUUUGCCUUAGGUUUGCUGCUGAAAAUCUUGCAGCUGUCAUGCAAUCAGAUGGAUUUGAAUACCUUAAGGAAAACUGCCCUUCUCUUCAGUCAGAGCUUCUUAAAACCGUUGCUGGUUGUGAGGAUGAUUGUAGCAGUGGAGGCGGAAAGUCUAGAAGCGUUUGGGCCCAGCUUUCAGAUGGUGGUGAUACCAAUGGCAGGAGGGUAAGGCACCGGACAUGAUUUUAGAUAGAGAACCCUGGUUUUAUUGUUCUGUAUAUUGGAAGAUGUGUUGAAAAUGUUACAGGAAGGGGUAAUUGUACUAUAGUUCUCUGAGAUACCGAACAAGUCUGUUUGUAAUACCAGUCAUACUGAGUUUUUGAACGCUUAUGCUGACACCAAGUUUGGAUUUCAGUAUG
rnacentral:misc_RNA from 1 species